rnacentral:rRNA from 1 species
UACGUAGGGAGCAAGCGUUGUCCGGAAUCAUUGGGCGUAAAGCGCGCGUAGGUGGCCCGGUAAGUCCGCUCUGAAAGUCACAGGCUCAACCUGUGAAAGCGGGUGGAUACUGCCGGGCUAGAGUCCGGAAGAGGCGAGUGGAAUUCCCGGUGUAGCGGUGAAAUGCGUAGAGAUCGGGAGGAACAUCAGUGGCGAAGGCGGCCAUCUGGGACAACACUGACACUGAGGAGCGAAAGCCAGGGGAGCAAACGGG